GCAAAGUAGAGCCAUAUGCGUAGUGCCGACGGAACGGGGAGAUGUCCGCCGGACGAAUGCUCUGAUCAGAGAUUACGAUAUAUGGUUCGCAUCCCGUUG
rnacentral:ncRNA from 1 species